CCUACGGGGGGCAGCAGUGGGGAAUAUUGGACAAUGGGGGGAACCCUGAUCCAGCCAUGCCGCGUGUGUGAAGAAGGCCCUCGGGUUGUAAAGCACUUUCAGUGAGGAAGAACGCCUGGUGGUUAAUACCCAUCAGGAAAGACAUCACUCACAGAAGAAGCACCGGCUAACUCCGUGCCAGCAGCCGCGGUAAUACGGAGGGUGCGAGCGUUAAUCGGAAUUACUGGGCGUAAAGCGCGCGUAGGUGGCUUGAUAAGCCGGUUGUGAAAGCCCCGGGCUCAACCUGGGAACGGCAUCCGGAACUGUCAAGCUAGAGUGCAGGAGAGGAAGGUAGAAUUCCCGGUGUAGCGGUGAAAUGCGUAGAGAUCGGGAGGAAUACCAGUGGCGAAGGCGGCCUUCUGGACUGACACUGACACUGAGGUGCGAAAGCGUGGGUAGCAAACAGGAUUAGAUACCCUGGGAGUC
rnacentral:rRNA from 1 species